GAGUUUGAUUAUGGCUCAGAUUGAACGCUGGCGGCAUGCUUUACACAUGCAAGUCGAACGGCAGCACGGAAGAGCUUGCUCUUUUGGUGGCGAGUGGCGAACGGGUGAGUAAUACAUCGGAACGUACCGAGUAGUGGGGGAUAACUGUCCGAAAGGAUGGCUAAUACCGCAUAUUCUCUGAGGAGGAAAGCAGGGGACCUUCGGGCCUUGCGCUAUUUGAGCGGCCGAUGUCUGAUUAGCUAGUUGGUGGGGUAAAGGCCUACCAAGGCGACGAUCAGUAGCGGGUCUGAGAGGAUGAUCCGCCACACUGGGACUGAGACACGGCCCAGACUCCUACGGGAGGCAGCAGUGGGGAAUUUUGGACAAUGGGGGGAACCCUGAUCCAGCCAUGCCGCGUGUCUGAAGAAGGCCUUCGGGUUGUAAAGGACUUUUGUCAGGGAAGAAAAGCUUGAAGGUUAAUACCCCUUGAGUGAUGANCGUACC
rnacentral:rRNA from 1 species